UGUGAACUCGAAGAGUAGGGCGGGACACGUGGUAUCCUGUCUGAAUAUGGGGGGACCAUCCUCCAAGGCUAAAUACUCCUGACUGACCGAUAGUGAACCAGUACCGUGAGGGAAAGGCGAAAAGAACCCCGGCGAGGGGAGUGAAAAAGAACCUGAAACCGUGUACGUACAAGCAGUGGGAGCACCUUCGGGUGUGACUGCGUACCUUUUGUAUAAUGGGUCAGCGACUUAUAUUCUGUAGCAAGGUUAACCGUAUAGGGGAGCCGCAGGGAAACCGAGUCUUAACUGGGCGUUAAGUUGCAGGGUAUAGACCCGAAACCCGGUGAUCUAGCCAUGGGCAGGUUGAAGGUUGGGUAACACUAACUGGAGGACCGAACCGACUAAUGUUGAAAAAUUAGCGGAUGACUUGUGGCUGGGGGUGAAAGGCCAAUCAAACCGGGAGAUAGCUGGUUCUCCCCGAAAGCUAUUUAGGUAGCGCCUCGUGAACUCAUCUUCGGGGGUAGAGCACUGUUUCGGCUAGGGGGUCAUCCCGACUUACCAACCCGAUGCAAACUACGAAUACCGAAGAAUGUUAUCACGGGAGACACACGGCGGGUGCUAACGUCCGUCGUGAAGAGGGAAACAACCCAGACCGCCAGCUAAGGUCCCAAAGUCAUGGUUAAGUGGGAAACGAUGUGGGAAGGCACAGACAGCCAGGAUGUUGGCUUAGAAGCAGCCAUCAUUUAAAGAAAGCGUAAUAGCUCACUGGUCGAGUCGGCCUGCGCGGAAGAUGUAACGGGGCUAAACCAUGCACCGAAGCUGCGGCAGCGACACUAUGUGUUGUUGGGUAGGGGAGCGUUCUGUAAGCCUGCGAAGGUGACCUGUGAGGGUUGCUGGAGGUAUCAGAAGUGCGAAUGCUGACAUAAGUAACGAUAAAGCGGGUGAAAAGCCCGCUCGCCGGAAGACCAAGGGUUCCUGUCCAACGUUAAUCGGGGCAGGGUGAGUCGACCCCUAAGGCGAGGCCGAAAGGCGUAGUCGAUGGGAAACAGGUUAAUAUUCCUGUACUUGGUGUUACUGCGAAGGGGGGACGGAGAAGGCUAUGUUAGCCGGGCGACGGUUGUCCCGGUUUAAGCAUGUAGGCUGGUUAUCCAGGCAAAUCCGGAUAAUCAAGGCUGAGGUGUGAUGACGAGGCACUACGGUGCUGAAGUAACAAAUGCCCUGCUUCCAGGAAAAGCCUCUAAGCAUCAGGUAACAUCAAAUCGUACCCCAAACCGACACAGGUGGUCAGGUAGAGAAUACCAAGGCGCUUGAGAGAACUCGGGUGAAGGAACUAGGCAAAAUGGUGCCGUAACUUCGGGAGAAGGCACGCUGGUGUGUAGGUGAAGUCCCUGCGGAUGGAGCUGAGACCAGUCGAAGAUACCAGCUGGCUGCAACUGUUUAUUAAAAACACAGCACUGUGCAAACACGAAAGUGGACGUAUACGGUGUGACGCCUGCCCGGUGCCGGAAGGUUAAUUGAUGGGGUUAUCCGUAAGGAGAAGCUCUUGAUCGAAGCCCCGGUAAACGGCGGCCGUAACUAUAACGGUCCUAAGGUAGCGAAAUUCCUUGUCGGGUAAGUUCCGACCUGCACGAAUGGCGUAAUGAUGGCCAGGCUGUCUCCACCCGAGACUCAGUGAAAUUGAACUCGCUGUGAAGAUGCAGUGUACCCGCGGCAAGACGGAAAGACCCCGUGAACCUUUACUAUAGCUUGACACUGAACAUUGAGCCUUGAUGUGUAGGAUAGGUGGGAGGCUUUGAAGCGUGGACGCCAGUCUGCGUGGAGCCAACCUUGAAAUACCACCCUUUAAUGUUUGAUGUUCUAACGUUGGCCCCUGACCGGGGUUGCGGACAGUGUCUGGUGGGUAGUUUGACUGGGGCGGUCUCCUCCCAAAGCGUAACGGAGGAGCACGAAGGUUAGCUAAUCCUGGUCGGACAUCAGGAGGUUAGUGCAAUGGCAUAAGCUAGCUUGACUGCGAGCGUGACGGCGCGAGCAGGUGCGAAAGCAGGUCAUAGUGAUCCGGUGGUUCUGAAUGGAAGGGCCAUCGCUCAACGGAUAAAAGGUACUCCGGGGAUAACAGGCUGAUACCGCCCAAGAGUUCAUAUCGACGGCGGUGUUUGGCACCUCGAUGUCGGCUCAUCACAUCCUGGGGCUGAAGUAGGUCCCAAGGGUAUGGCUGUUCGCCAUUUAAAGUGGUACGCGAGCUGGGUUUAGAACGUCGUGAGACAGUUCGGUCCCUAUCUGCCGUGGGCGCUGGAGAAUUGAGGGGGGCUGCUCCUAGUACGAGAGGACCGGAGUGGACGCAUCACUGGUGUUCGGGUUGUCAUGCCAAUGGCACUGCCCGGUAGCUAAAUGCGGAAGAGAUAAGUGCUGAAAGCAUCUAAGCACGAAACUUGCCCCGAGAUGAGUUCUCCCUGAGACUUUAAGUCUCCUGAAGGAACGUUAAAGACGAUGACGUUGAUAGGCCGGGUGUGUAAGCGCAGCGAUGCGUUGAGCUAACCGGUACUAAUGAACCGUGAGGCUUAACCUU
rnacentral:rRNA from 1 species